rnacentral:misc_RNA from 1 species
AUAAUAAUAAUAAUAGUAGUAGUAGUGGUAGUAAAAAACCAACUGCUGCCAGCCAACAUCAGUCUUUACUUGCUCCAACCAAUCAUUGUUGGCUGACUUAACUUUGCUUUGUGCAAUUUUGUUUUCAAUUUACGUUGACUAAAACCUGGUGAUGAAGUCCUUACAGAUCUCAACAUUCUCAUGGUCUUCUUUGAUGAAGGAAGAAUAAGUUUUUUCAGUGUACUCCAAAUGUCAAU